rnacentral:rRNA from 1 species
GGCGAAAGGGGCAGUAAUGCAUGGGUAACUUACCCUGGAGUCAGGCAUAGCCGUCCUAACGGACGGGUAAUUCUUGAUGGCCCAGCGUGGUGGCAUCAUCGUGCUGGUAAAGAAUUUCGCUCCGGGAGAGACCCAUGUCGUAUUAGCUAGUUGGCGGGGUAACGGCCCACCAAGGCUAAGAUGCGUAGCGGGUGUGAGAGCACGACCCGCGCCACUGGCACUGAGACACUGGCCAGACACCUACGGGUGGCUGCAGUCGAGGAUCUUCGUCAAUGGGCGAAAGCCUGAACGAGCGACGCCGCGUGCGCGAUGAAGGCCUUCGGGUUGUAAAGCGCGAAAGUGGGGACGAAGCCGAAAGGUUGACCGAUCCACAGUAAGCUCGGGCUAAGUUCGUGCCAGCAGCCGCGGUAAGACGAACCGAGCGAACGUUGUUCGGAAUCACUGGGCUUAAAGGGCGCGUAGGCGGGCAUCAAAGUCUGUGGUGAAAUCCGGCAGCUUAACUGUCGAAUUGCCAUGGAUACUGGAUGUCUCGAGGGAGGCAGGGGUGCGCGGAACUGAUGGUGGAGCGGUGAAAUGCGUUGAUAUCAUCAGGAACUCCGGUGGCGAAGGCGGCGCACUGGUCCUUUUCUGACGCUGAGGCGCGAAAGCCAGGGGAGCAAACGGGAUUAGAUACCCCGGUAGUCC